rnacentral:lncRNA from 1 species
AAAAUUAACCCACUAUCCCUACCUCUUUCAUAAUAAUCAGAAUUAUUAGCACUUAAUUAAAACUAUUAGUAAUUAAUCAGUGCAUAUUUUGUUCCAGAUUAUACCUCACAGUGAAAGUGGUGAUGAAUUCUUCUGCUUUUUCCUUUGUCCCCUGGUGAAGCUCAGUCCAACAUAAAGGUCUUGUCCCAUGUUUCUGACAGGGAACACUGAAAACCACCACAGGAAUCAUUUCCUAAGAAGUAAUCACAAUAGUGCUUGA